rnacentral:rRNA from 1 species
AAGUCGUAACAAGGUUUCCGUAGGUGAACCUGCGGAAGGAUCAUUAAUGAAUUAAAGUCGGUCUUCUGUGCUGGUGGUGACACAUGUGCACGUUGAUCGCAAAUCCACACACCUGUGCACCUUUGACUUUAGGAUCCGCUUGUUGGCUUGUCUGACUUGCAGCUGAUGUUGGUUUUGUGCUCAUCUGGAUCUUAGAGUAAUUUUACACACUCUGAAUGUAAUGGAAUGUUCCUGUGCAUAAUGCGCAAAAUACAACUUUCAACAACGGAUCUCUUGGCUCUCGCAUCGAUGAAGAACGCAGCGAAAUGUGAUAAGUAAUGUGAAUUGCAGAAUUCAGUGAAUCAUCGAAUCUUUGAACGCACCUUGCACCCUUUGGUAUUCCAAAGGGUACACCCGUUUGAGUGUCAUUGUAAUCUCACUACGAUCGACUCUUGUCUUUCCGUAUGUGGACUUGGAUGUUGUCGUGGAUUCAACGACUCGUCUGAAAUGCCUGAGUGUACCCCGCUUUGCGGCGUAUUCGGUGUGAUACAUCUUCACCGGAGUUGAUCCUUUUUGGGUCGCGUCUGUAUGAGUGUGGCUCUAUGCUUCCAACCGUCUUUUUAUGAGACAAAUCUCUGACAAUUUGACCUCAAAUCGGGUGGGACUACCCGCUGAACUUAA